rnacentral:rRNA from 1 species
GAUCCUGGCUUAGGAUGAACGCUAGCUACAGGCUUAACACAUGCAAGUCGAGGGCAGCAUGAAGUUGCUUGCAAACUUGAUGGCGACCGGCGCACGGGUGAGUAACGCGUAUCCAACCUUCCCUAUAGUAGAGGAUAGCCCGGCGAAAGUCGGAUUAAUACUCUAUGUUUUCCAAUGCGGACAUCUAAAAUGGAACAAAGGUUUACCGCUAUAGGAUGGGGAUGCGUCUGAUUAGGUAGUCGGCGGGUAACGGCCCACCGAGCCAUCGAUCAGUAGGGGUUCUGAGAGGAAGGUCCCCCACAUUGGAACUGAGACACGGUCCAAACUCCUACGGGAGGCAGCAGUGAGGAAUAUUGGUCAAUGGGCGAGAGCCUGAACCAGCCAAGUAAGCGUGCAGGAUGACGGCCCUAUGGGUUGUAAACUGCUUUUAUACAGGGAUAAAGUGGGGAACGUGUUCCCUUUUGUAGGUACUGUAUGAAUAAGGACCGGCUAAUUCCGUGCCAGCCGCUGC